rnacentral:lncRNA from 1 species
CAAAAAUGCCAUGUGCAGAUUUAUAAGAGCCAAAGACUUGUAAGUGGGGUGAACGGGAAGGUUUUCUUCUCAACCCGCUGCUCCUAAGAGAGACCUGUGGAGUUCCGAGUCUGUGUGGCUAAAACCACGAAUUUCUAAUUACUGAAACAGUGGUGGCUUGAUGUGCGGCUGGUUUGAUGGAAGAUCUGUCUGGAGAGGUCCUGACUCUGCCCAGCAGAUUCGUACUACAGUUACACAGCCUGGGUCUCUCCACAGACCUGAGUGGAGGAGAAGCCCCCGUGGGAGUUUUGUUGCUUGAUGAUCCAUUUCACAAUCUUGGAUGCUGUAGACAGGUCUGAUGAAGACAGGUCCCGUGUAGGCCGGGAAGACUCAGAGGUUAGAUAAGCAAGGAGCACGAGGGCUUACCUGGAAAAUGCUGUGUGCGUCAUCAUCACCCAGAGAGUGCUUUGGCGUGUACACGAUCCCAUUGUGAGUGAUGUCUUCUACGCUGAUGCAGUUCUCACUGUCUGCAUACGCUGGGGCACCAAAGAAGGCAGUCUGGACAGUCUUUCUUGGCAGCAAAUUGUAGAUCUGUGGAUUGGAGGAGAACAAAGGGCUGGACCUGGAGGCGAGAUGCAGAGGAUAACCAGAAAACCCGUGAAGCAUCCUUGAAGCCUGUAAAUGAGGACGCUUCUCUGGAAACACGAAGGCAUUUUAAAGACAUGUUUGAGAAGAAACUGUUCUUGUCCACUCUUGAGUCUAGUAAGUGUCUGAUUCCAGGGCAAGCACAAAAGACCUGGCAUCUUACACAAUCACCUUGAGUUGUGGCCAGUUAGCAACUGGACCAGACGAAAUUUAACUUCUCUAAAACGUAUUGUAGCAAAAUUAACACAUCCUAUUUGCGUGUUACCAUUCGUAAAGUGAAGUGAUAAGACAGA